AUUGAACGCUGGCGGCAGGCCUAACACAUGCAAGUCGAGCGAGCGGCGGACGGGGGAGUAAUGUAUGUGGACUGACCGUUAGAGGGGGAGAACUACUGGAAAAGGUAGCUAAUACAGCAUACUAUCGGAUCACCCAUAUAGGGUUAGCUAGUGGGUGAGGUAAUGGCUCACCUAGGCGACGAUCCCUAGCUGGUCUGAGAGGAUGAGCAGCCACACUGGGACUGAGACACGGCCCAGACUCCUACGGAGGCAGCAGGGGGGAAUAUUGCACAAUGGGCGCAAGCCUGAUGCAGCCAUGCCGCGUGUAUGAAGAAGGCCUUAGGGUUGUAAAGUACUUUCAGUGGGGAGGCGUUACCGACAGAAGAAGCACCGGCUAACUCCGUGCCAGCAGCCGCGGUAAUAC
rnacentral:rRNA from 1 species